UAUCUCUGUAGAGUCUGCAUAUCAAUAAGCGGAGGAAAAGAAACUAACAAGGAUUCCCCUUAGUAACGGCGAGUGAAGCGGGAAGAGCUCAAAUUUGAAAUCUUCAAGGGUUUACCUUUACGAAUUGUAGUUUAAAGAAGUGUUUUCUGUUGAGGUUUCGGUAAAAGUUCUUUGGAAUAGGACAUCAUAGAGGGUGAGAAUCCCGUAUUUGACCUUUACUUUUCAACUUUGUGAUACACUUUCAAAGAGUCGGAUUGUUUGGGAAUGCAGUCCAAAAUGGGUGGUAAAUUUCAUCUAAAGCUAAAUAUUGGCGAGAGACCGAUAGCGAACAAGUACCGUGAGGGAAAGAUGAAAAGAACUUUGAAAAGAGAGUUAAACAGUACGUGAAAUUGUCAAAAGGGAAGCGUUUGACACCAGUGUUGUUUUUCUCGAAAAUCAAUUAAAAAUGGCUUGAUUUUGUGUUGUAUUGACCUUAAAAGCUUUCUUCACUUUUUUCAUGUCUUUUUUAAUGCGCUUUUCGUUUAACAAGUCAACAUCAGUUUCUUUUGUUGUAAAAAGGUCAUUGGAAGGUGGCUUUCUUUUCGGAGAAAGUGUUUAUAGCCUUUGACUUCUGCAAUCGGAGAGACUGAGGUCUGCAGCGUAGAUCCUUCUGGAUUAGAUUCAUUUGUGCUAAGUUACAACCGUUUAUAGACAACGUGUUGACUAUAUUCGAUCCUGUAGCUUACUCGCUUAUGUAAUUUUACCUACGCUUAGGAUGUUGACGAUCAGCUGAGCGCG
rnacentral:rRNA from 1 species